rnacentral:rRNA from 1 species
UACAGGGGGUGCAAACGUUGCUCGGAAUCAUUGGGCGUAAAGCGCACGUAGGCGGUCUGUUAUGUCGGAUGUGAAAGCCCUUGGCUCAACUGAGGAAGUGCAUCCGAAACUGGCAGGCUAGAGUACUAAAGAGGAUCGCGGAAUUCCCGGUGUAGAGGUGAAAUUCGUAGAUAUCGGGAGGAACACCGGUGGCGAAGGCGGUCUGCUGGGCAGUUUCUGACACUGAGGCGCGACAGCGUGGGGAGCAAACAGG